rnacentral:tmRNA from 1 species
GGGGGUGACUGGUUUCGACUGGGAACGGUAGUUCCGGGAGAAGCGGGCCGAGAAUCCAAGGUCAACUCGUAAAUGUCCCUUGGGAACCAAUAAGUGCCAACAAUUCGCGCACUGACUUCGCUCUCGCCGCCUGAUCGGUGAUCGAAGGGUCAGCCUGGGCGUAGCCUUCCGUCCAGAUCCUGGCCUCAUCUAGAAGGCUUGCUGCAUACCUGCUGUCCGGGUGGGUGUGCGGGACUCAAACCGGACUGGGCCUGUCUGCAACAUGCCGACUUGAGUGCAGGGGCCGAGCAGGACGUCAUGGCGGCUGCGCCCGGAGAAUGCUUGGUUCGCCUUUUCAGGACGCGGGUUCAAUUCCCGCCACCUCCACUG